GGGAAGGCCAAUACUGCAGUCGAGCGAGCUUGCCUAGAUGAUUUUAGUGCUUGCACUAAAUGAAACUAGAUACAAGCGAGCGGCGGACGGGUGAGUAACACGUGGGUAACCUGCCCAAGAGACUGGGAUAACACCUGGAAACAGAUGCUAAUACCGGAUAACAACACUAGACGCAUGUCUAGAGUUUGAAAGAUGGUUCUGCUAUCACUCUUGGAUGGACCUGCGGUGCAUUAGCUAGUUGGUAAGGUAACGGCUUACCAAGGCAAUGAUGCAUAGCCGAGUUGAGAGACUGAUCGGCCACAUUGGGACUGAGACACGGCCCAAACUCCUACGGGAGGCAGCAGUAGGGAAUCUUCCACAAUGGACGAAAGUCUGACGGAGCAACGCCGCGUGAGUGAAGAAGGGUUUCGGCUCGUAAAGCUCUGUUGGUAGUGAAGAAAGAUAGAGGUAGUAACUGGCCUUUAUUUGACGGUAAUUACUUAGAAAGUCACGGCUAACUACGUGCCAGCAGCCGCGGUAAUACGUAGGUGGCAAGCGUUGUCCGGAUUUACUGGGUGUAAAGGGGGUGCAGACGGCCAUGGCAAGCCCGGUGUGAAAGGCAGGGGCAUAACCCCUGGACUGCACUGGGAACUGUCAGGCUGGAGUGCCGGAGGGGUAAGCGGAAUUCCUGGUGUAGCGGUGAAAUGCGUAGAUAUCAGGAGGAACACCGGCGGCGAAGGCGGCUUACUGGACGGCAACUGACGUUGAGGCCCGAAAGCGUGGGGAGCGAACAGGAUUAGAUACCCUGGUAGUCCACGCUGUAAACGAUCAAUACUAGGUGUGCGGGGACUGACCCCCUGCGUGCCGGAGUAAGGAAUUGACGGGGGCCCGCACAAGCGGUGGAUUAUGUGGUUAAUUUCG
rnacentral:rRNA from 1 species